UACGUAGGGGGCUAGCGUUGUCCGGAAUCAUUGGGCGUAAAGAGCGUGUAGGCGGUCCGGUAAGUCCGCUGUGAAAGUCGGGGGCUCAACCCUCGAAUGCCGGUGGAUACUGUCGGGCUAGAGUACGGGAGAGGGAAGCGGAAUUCCUGGUGUAGCGGUGAAAUGCGUAGAGUAUCAGGAGGAACACCGGCGGCGAAGGCGGCUUCCUGGACCGAUACUGACGCUGAGACGCGAAAGCGUGGGGAGCAAACAGG
rnacentral:rRNA from 1 species